GGGGGAUUAGCUCAGCUGGGAGAGCGCUUGCAUGGCAUGCAAGAGGUCAUCGGUUCAAAUCCGUUAUCCUCCAC
rnacentral:tRNA from 1 species